rnacentral:rRNA from 1 species
AGUGAACGCUGGCGGUAGGCCUAACACAUGCAAGUCGAACGGCAGCACAGUAAGAGCUUGCUCUUACGGGUGGCGAGUGGCGGACGGGUGAGGAAUACAUCGGAAUCUACUUUUUCGUGGGGGAUAACGUAGGGAAACUUACGCUAAUACCGCAUACGACCUACGGGUGAAAGCAGGGGAUCUUCGGACCUUGCGCGAUUGAAUGAGCCGAUGUCGGAUUAGCUAGUUGGCGGGGUAAAGGCCCACCAAGGCGACGAUCCGUAGCUGGUCUGAGAGGAUGAUCGGCCCACCUGGAACGGAGACACGGUCCAGACCCCUACGGGAGGCAGCAGGGGGGAAUAUUGGACAAUGGGCGCAAGCCUAACCAAGCCAUACCGGGUGGGUGAAGAAGGCCUUCGGGUUGUAAAGCCCUUUUUUUGGGAAAAAAAAGCAGCAGGUUAAUACCCCGCUGUUCUGACGGUACCCAAAAAAUAAGCACCGGCUAACUUCGU